rnacentral:rRNA from 1 species
AGAACGAACGCUGGCGGCAUGCCUAACACAUGCAAGUCGAACGAGACCUUCGGGUCUAGUGGCGCACGGGUGCGUAACGCGUGGGAAUCUGCCCUUGGGUUCGGAAUAACAGUUAGAAAUGACUGCUAAUACCGGAUGAUGACGAAAGUCCAAAGAUUUAUCGCCCAGGGAUGAGCCCGCGUAGGAUUAGCUAGUUGGUGAGGUAAAGGCUCACCAAGGCGACGAUCCUUAGCUGGUCUGAGAGGAUGAUCAGCCACACUGGGACUGAGACACGGCCCAGACUCCUACGGGAGGCAGCAGUGGGGAAUUUUGGACAAUGGGCGAAAGCCUGAUCCAGCCAUGCCGCGUGCAGGAUGAAGGCCUUCGGUUGUAACUGCUUUGUA